UGCACCUCUCUUUCUCCUUGCCUACAUCUAUGUCCUGCCAAGUGCUCGUCCUUCGUAAGUUGUACUACAUACUCGUAAAUCUUUUUAAAUCGUGUAAUUCCUCUUGUUUAGGAUGCAAUUUGUUAGUAUAACUUUUUCUUGCGAAGCAUGAUGUGAUAUUGACAAGGCAGUACCUAUAGCGCGCACACACAUCAUGGCCCAUGGAUGACCUCUUACAUAUGGUGGAUUGAAUUGGGGUCCAUUUAUUCGUUCCAGCCCAUCGGAACUGACCAACUCCCUUGACUCGACUAGGAAUGAACUCUGUUGAAAAAGAAAGCCAAGUAGCUAGGAGUACUAGAUGAUGAGUCACUCUCAAACAACCAAAAGGAUAAAUCAUCCGAGACUCCGUGGGAGAAAGCAACGGCCAAGUUUAAGUCUCUUCUUUUUACUAUCAUGUAUACGUACGAUACCGUGUAGACGACGCACACUUCCUACAAAAGACAAAACCGUCGCGGACCAAACCAUAAACACCGGCUGACACGUGGGCUCAUUCGAGCUAUAGUUACUUAUACCGAGUAACAAAAUCUCUCAAAUCAGCAAGAAAAGAAAGUAAAACCUGUGGCACAGCAAAGGCUACCACGCAACACUGCAGCCUUCUCGGCCUACAAAACGCCAUCCACUCUUCCUCCUUCCUGUUCCAAUCCUCCUCCUUGAGCUGAGUGCUUCCACUCAGCAUUAGCCAGUAGCUAAGCCUUCUGACUUCUACAGCCGUCGGAAGAUCGAAGAUGUACAACGCUCCGAUGGCGCAGGAGAUGUCCUACUUGGAUCAUAUGCAAAGGCGCCACGAGGAGAAGGGCUGCCUCUACGCAUGCUUAUUCACGGCGCUGUGCUGCUUCUGCUGCUACGAGACCUGCGAGUGCUGCCUCGAAUGCCUCUGCUGCUGCUGCGACUAAGCUAGCUAUCACCCGGCGGCGUCAAACUCUCCGGCAGGAGAUCAACCGUCCGUCGCCUUCAUUUAGCCCCAAAUUCAUAAUAAGCAUCGUUUGUACUGUAAGCUUAAUCAAUUAAUUAGCUCGAUGUCGGGUAUACUAUAUACUAAUAUUUUCUGUGCCGAAAGACAUUAUUACUGUAAUCAUCAUCAUGGUUUGAGUGGCUUUGUUGCAAUAUUUUAAUUAAUCGAUCAGUUAGCAUCA